rnacentral:rRNA from 1 species
GUGCCAGCAGCCGCGGUAAGACGAAGGUGGCGACCGUUGUUCGGAAUCACUGGGCAUAAAGAGCACGUAGGCGGCAGGGUAUGUCGGGUGUGAAAUCCCUCGGCCCAACCGAGGAAUUGCGCCCGAAACUACCCUGCUUGAGGAUGGAAGGGGAGCGUGGAAUUCCUGGUGGAGCGGUGAAAUGCGUUGAUAUCAGGAGGAACACCGGCGGCGAAGGCGACGCUCUGGUCCAUUACUGACGCUGAGGUGCGAAAGCCAGGGGAGCAAACGGGAUUAGAAACCCUUGUAGUCC